rnacentral:rRNA from 1 species
UGCAGCCAACGCCCGCGUGUGGGAUGAGGUCUUCGGAUUGUAAACCCCUUUCAGUAGGGACGAAGCGCAGGUGACCGUACCUGCACAAGAAGCACCGGCUAACUACAUGCCACCCGCCGCGGUAAUACGUAGGGUGCGAGCGUUGACCGGAAUUACUGGGCGUAAACAGCUCGAAUGCGGUUUGUCACGUCGUCUGUGAAAUCCCUCGGCUUAACCUGAGGCCUGCAGGCUAUACGGGCAAACUUGACUACUACAGGGGAGACUGGAAUUCCUGGAGUAGCGUUGAAAUGCCCAGAUAUCAGGAGGAACACCAGAGGCGAAGGCGAAUCUCUGGGUAGAAACUGACCCUCAGGACCGAAAGCGUGGGUAACGAACAGGAUUAUAUACCCUGGUAGUCCAUGCCGUACACGGUGGGCGCUACGUGUGGGGACCUUCCACAGACUCCGUGACGUAUCUAACGCAUUAAGCGCCCCGCCUGGGAAGUACCGACGCAAGGCUAAAACUCAAAUGAAUUGACGGACU